rnacentral:rRNA from 1 species
UGCAUAUCAAAAAGCGGAGGAAAAGAAACCAACAGGGAUUGCCUUAGUAGCGGCGAGUGAAGCGGCAAAAGCUCAAAUUUGAAAUCUGGCUCUUUCAGAGUCCGAGUUGUAAUUUGAAGAAGGUAUCUUUGGGUCUGGCUCUUGUCUAUGUUUCUUGGAACAGAACGUCACAGAGGGUGAGAAUCCCGUGCGAUGAGAUGAUCCAGGCCUAUGUAAAGUUCCUUCGAAGAGUCGAGUUGUUUGGGAAUGCAGCUCUAAGUGGGUGGUAAAUUCCAUCUAAAGCUAAAUAUUGGCGAGAGACCGAUAGCGAACAAGUACAGUGAUGGAAAGAUGAAAAGAACUUUGAAAAGAGAGUGAAAAAGUACGUGAAAUUGUUGAAAGGGAAGGGCUUGAGAUCAGACUUGGUAUUUUGUAUGUUACUUCUUCGGGGGUGGCCUCUACAGUUUAUCGGGCCAGCAUCAGUUUGGGCGGUAGGAGAAUUGCGUUGGAAUGUGGCACGGCUUCGGUUGUGUGUUAUAGCCUUCGUCGAUACUGCCAGCCUAGACUGAGGACUGCGGUUUAUACCUAGGAUGUUGGCAUAAUGAUCUUAAGUCGCCCGUCUUGAAACCACGGACC